UACCUGGUUGAUCCUGCCAGUAGUCAUAUGCUUGUCUCAAAGAUUAAGCCGUGCAUGUCUAAGUACAUGCCGAAACAAGG
rnacentral:ncRNA from 1 species